ensembl:lncRNA
ACCGACUUUUAAAUUUAAUCACCAGAAGCAUAUACACCUUACUUGACUCCAAAAUGGGGGAGGUCCACAACUCAUGUGUUAAAACUUCAGAACCAUGUCUCCUCUACUGCUGGUUCCUCCUGGAACUUCUUUUGGUGCCUGGGGCUUAAUAGACACUGGAAAAGCCUACCAUCCCUGAGGCCUUCUUACCCUGGAAUACCCCUCAGCAAGACCUAUCCUAACUUCUCUUACUGGUGAGUUCUUGUAGUAGCUCUAUUUUAUGGAGAGCCAAGGGCCAGUUUCCCUUCAU